AGGGAAUCAGAAUUGAUAGAGCAAGGAAGGCAGGUGGACUGGCUGCUUCCCUAGGUGGGCAGAAUGAAGGGUGGCGUGGGCAGAAAACAAUUCCUUUGUGGGGGCAAGACACGUGCUUCAGCUCAAGUGCCUCCAAUCAGCGAAGUCCAAACUGAAGCCAGACCCCAAGGAAGCCCAGCUGAUGCAGUCCCUAGAUAUCAGCCUCCCAGGGCAGAAAACAGUGUCAAAAGGGAUAGAGAAUGUUAUGCAGAGGGACGAGACAAGGAUGACCCAACCACGCUGCAACGUGCUAUAGUAAAAGAUUUCACCUCAAAUAUCCGGAGCUGACUUGCUGGAUUUGCACUCUGGGUAAAGCUCUGAGACGAAGACGGUGUGCUUAAUACACACUGAACUCCCUUCUGCGGUGUUCCUGCAUGAUCAGCACCAAGAGCUCGGACAGUACCCUCUCAGGACUCCUCCUUUACCCAUUAGGGCAGGU
ensembl:lncRNA